rnacentral:RNase_P_RNA from 1 species
ACAUUAAGAUAAUCGCUAGUAUUACUAGAGGAAAGUCCAUGCUCGCACAUCCUGCGAUGGAUGUAGUGAUUAAGCUAAGUGAAACAAUAAACUUAGGUAACGAAAGUUAACGGCUGGCAAUAUUCCUAAAAGAUAUCUCAUGGAAUUAGCCUAUAAAAGUGUCAAAGAGACGAGCUUGAUAGAAAUAUUAAGAGUGGAACGUGAUAAACCCCUUAAGCGAGAAACCCAAAUUUGGUAGGGGAACUUCUGAAGACAAAACGAAGUUAUUCAGGAGGUGCAUUUGCACAGAUAAAUGAUUAUCUAAUACAGAACAUGGCUUAUUAAA